rnacentral:SRP_RNA from 1 species
CCUGGUGCCGUGGCUUGUGCCUGUGAUCCCAGCUCCUGGGGAGGGUGAGGCCGGUGGAUCGCUGGAGCUCAGGGGUUCUGGGCUGCAGUGGGCUAUGCUGAUUGGGUGUCUGUACUAAGCUCGACAUCAAUAUGGUGAUCCCUGGGGAGCUUGGGGUUGCCUAAGGAGGGGUGAACUGGCCCCGGUUGGAGGUGGAGCAGGUCAAAACUCCUGUGCCUAUCAGUAGUGGGAUUGCGCCUGUGAAUAGCCUGGGCAAGAUAGUGAGACGUGGUCUCUU